rnacentral:rRNA from 1 species
AUGAACGCUGGCGGCGUGCCUAAUACAUGCAAGUCGAGCGAACAGACGAGGAGCUUGCUCCUCUGACGUUAGCGGCGGACGGGUGAGUAACACGUGGAUAACCUACCUAUAAGACUGGGAUAACUUCGGGAAACCGGAGCUAAUACCGGAUAAUAUAUUGAACCGCAUGGUUCAAUAGUGAAAGACGGUUUUGCUGUCACUUAUAGAUGGAUCCGCGCCGCAUUAGCUAGUUGGUAAGGUAACGGCUUACCAAGGCAACGAUGCGUAGCCGACCUGAGAGGGUGAUCGGCCACACUGGACCUGAGACACGGUCCAGACUCCUACGGGAGGCAGCAGUAGGGAAUCUUCCGCAAUGGGCGAAAGCUUGACGGAGCAACGCCGCGUGAGUGAGGAAGGUCUUCGGAUCGUAAAACUCUGUUAUUAGGGAAGAACAAAUGUGUAAGUAACUAUGCACGUCUUGACGGUACCUAAUCAGAAAGCCACGGCUAACUACGU